AGUGGAUGCAUUUCCCAAACCUUCAGUUGGUUUUUUUCACACUGAUAUUCCUCUUGAGGCAGUGAAGGCGAGACACUGAAUACCCAAUACUCCUAGUUGGUUGUGGAGCAAAGAGGGCACAUGAUGAGAAAUGGUAGAAGCUCUCUUGAAGAUAUCUUUUAGGUUUCCCACAAAACUGGACAGUAUAACCCUAUGAUAGACAAUCUGGUAGUCACGCUUCUUCAUGUUUAUAAAAUCUACUCAGCAAAUAAUCUACCCUUUAUAAUUUCUAACAAUUUUAUUAAUAAUGGCAAAAGUCUUAGAGUCUAAGAUACACUUUUGUAAGGAAUAAACAAUUGUGGAAUUCAUGAACAAUCAAGUAUUGAUGAGUUAAAAGAAACAAGUCAUGAAUCAUGGAGCAACGUGGAAUAACCUUAAUUGCAUAUUAUUAGUUGUAGUACAAGAUAAUGAUAUGGAAGCAUAGAAAC
rnacentral:lncRNA from 1 species